UAAUUUUUUUCUGAAGACCUACAGUAUUGCUUUGGAAGGUAUUAAAGUUGAAAGUUUGUUUUCUGAAGAGGUGCAGUGAAACAUUGUUGCUUUGAAAGAAUAUUACGAGAAGAGCUUGAUGGAUAUCGAAAAGCCGCCCUCCAGUUCUUUGGCCUACAGUUCAGUGUACCGUGGAGUUACUAAGCAUAGAUGGACAGGGAGAUAUGAAGUCCAUCUCUGGGACAAAAAGAAAGAUACUAGCAACCGCAAGGGUAAACAAG